rnacentral:lncRNA from 1 species
AUGAUUACUGAGUAUUCUCUCCCAGAUGAGGUAUUAAUAUAGAGCGCCAUGGCAUGCAGAAGAAGAAGCAUGUUGCAUCAGGUCAGAGGUCCAUCUGUUCUUGAGUUCUGUUCCCAACCAGGACCUAAAGCUGAUGGUCUUCAUCUGCUGUUCAUCCUCACUCAUGUACCAUUCAGAGAUACACCCUGGCUUGCAGUUCCAUCCUUCGUUUUCGUGGCUAAAAGUCCCUGAAAGGAAAUAGUCCUAUUCUGCACAGUUUGGGUCCAAAUUAAGCUAACCAGUGGAAUGUAAGUGCAGCAAAUUGAGCCUUACAAAUUAGUUUUAAUCAUUUUCUAGCACAAUCUAACCUAGUGACUCAUCACUGGGGCUUUUUUCAGCCAGAACUCAGUUCCAGCACCUUGUAAGUGGGCACCAUUGCCAUUAUAAGAGAACAACUGAGGUGAUCAUGGUGAUUUCCGGCACCUCUUUCUUUAGAACAGUGGUUCUCAACCUGUGGGUCCCCAGAUGUUGUUGGACUACAACUCCCAUCAUCCCUGAGCUCUGGCCUUGCUAGCUAGGGGUGAUGGGAGAUGGGAUCCUCAUAACAGAGGGUCCUAGUUGCGCACGGGACCCAAGAGCUCACCUGAUAGGGUUAGAAUGGGGGGGGGAGGAGCAAGAAGUCCUGGCCAUUCCCCUGGGAUCACACCAGGCGAUUUUAGCCAAUCCCCAGUGGGUGGCGUGAUCCCAGGGGCUUUAAAAACAGCAGUGUGAUGCAAGGAGGGGCACUUGCUUCGCACUGUUGAACACCCACCCAACCUCCCUAGUUUAGGUAGAGUCGCUUGGCCUUGCUUUGGUUUGGGUCGCCUGUUUUGGAACAGGGGCUGGGUAGGAAUUUUUCCAUUUGGAAGAUUGGCUUUAGCCAUUUGGUUUUCGCCUACCCCUCAGCAAAUCGUCACAACUUGUAAGGUGGCGGUUAGACAAUGGCUCAGUUGGAUUGUGGGGAGGGGAGGUGCGGCCAUCACCUGCCCCUCCAGGAACUGGGUAUUCCGUAAAAGGAAUCUGGGGGUCCUGGAUCUCGUCCGAAGUCCGCUUGAGGGGCUAGGGCCAUGCCAGGACCACAGGAACCUCGGGGUGAGCUUUGGUUGGUCCUCAUCGACCUAGCUCCCUCGUUUGGUUUACCCCAUUAGAUGAUUGCCCUGAGAGGUGGAGCCAGUUAUAGUGGGGAGUCAAUGCCUAAGCCAAUACCGCUCACGUGAUUGUAUUUCAAUAAAGUUGUGGCCAAAAAUUUUGCCCCAAAACUUAAACUAAUAUAAGUGUCCGUGUGUAUUUAUUUUGGGGGUGGGUCUUGGGGCCUCGAGAUGCAUUUGUAGUUCAACAACAUCUGGGGACCCGGAGGUUGAGAAAGGCUGCUCUAGAAGAAUAGAACUGGUCCUCACAUAUUCUGCCCGGUGUAUGAAGCUGCUCCUUCCUUCUAUCGCAAGCUCCAUGCUGUUCAUUUUUGCUUGGAGUGAGCCCAGAGUUUUAAUAUUAUGAGUGAGAGAGGGAAGAAAGCCCCACUCUCCACUACUAUAUUCAUAAUUUUAUAACCCCCUCUCCCCACUGUCCUCCCUUUCCAUGCUCCCUCUGUUCUGUUAUUGAACUGAAGGUAGCCUCAGUCAGCAAACAAGCCAUAGAUGGAGGCGGGCAUCGCAGUGCCUGCUGUGGCAGAGCUUGAUCUUAAGGAACCAUCAGGAUUACAGAUCAUUGCCUGGCUGAAUGAUGUCUUUCCUGGAGGAAGCUUAUUAACGAUGCUGCACUCUGAGGCUUGGCUUCGAGUAAUAAUUCUUUUAGCCGCACAAGGGAGCUUGUCACUGCAAUCAUUCUUCUUCACCGCAGGAGCCGAGUAGGACCUUCCAUGUGAAUCGAAGAGCAAGCCACUUAUCUCCUGUAACUAACUCUGUGUUGGCCGUUUCCAUAAAGAAAGUUUUCAUUUCC